rnacentral:rRNA from 1 species
GAUGAACGCUAGCGGCAGGCUUAACACAUGCAAGUCGAGGGGUAACAGAAGUGCUUGCACUUGCUGACGACCGGCGAACGGGUGCGUAACGCGUAUAGAAUCUACCUCUUACUAAGGGAUAGCCCAGAGAAAUUUGGAUUAAUAUCUUAUGGUAUGUUGAUUUGGCAUCAAGACAACAUUAAAGGUUACGGUAGGAGAUGACUAUGCGUCCUAUUAGCUAGAUGGUGUGGUAACGGCACACCAUGGCAACGAUAGGUAGGGGCCCUGAGAGGGGGAUCCCCCACACUGGUACUGAGACACGGACCAGACUCCUACGGGAGGCAGCAGUGAGGAAUAUUGGACAAUGGAGGCAACUCUGAUCCAGCCAUGCCGCGUGCAGGAAGACUGCCCUAUGGGUUGUAAACUGCUUUUAUACAGGAAGAAACACCUCUACGUGUAGAGGCUUGACGGUACUGUAAGAAUAAGGAUCGGCUAACUCCG